rnacentral:misc_RNA from 1 species
GAUGAAGAACGUAGCGAAAUGCGAUACGUAAUGUGAAUUGCAGAAUUCAGUGAAUCAUCGAAUCUUUGAACGCAUAUUGCGCUCUUUGGUAUUCCGAAGAGCAUGCUUGUUUGAGUAUCAGUAAACACCUCAACCUCUUCUUGAUUUUUCAAAAGGAGGGUGGACUUGAGCUAUCCCAACAACCUUUACCGGUCGACGGGCGGCUUGAAAUGCAGGUGCAGCUGGACUUUUAUCUGAGCUAAAAGCAUAUCUAUUUAGUCCUCGUCAAACAGGAUUAUUACUUUUGCUGCAGCUAACAUAAAGGAUAAUUGUCCUCUUUGCUGACUGAUGCAGGAUUUUACGACACUUUAUGUGUUGUUCAACUCGAUCUCAAAUCAAGUAAGACUACCCGCUGAACUUAAGCAUAUCAAUAAGCGGAGGA